ACGGGCAGUAGGACGAAAAGGCGGGGCUUGCGGACUGCGCAGGCGCUGGUGGGCUCCGGGUCCUCGAGGCUGCCGGGAAGGGGCGCUGGAGCAGGGGGCGUGUCCCGCGGCCAGAGGUGGCUCGUCGCUGAUUGGGGGUGGGAGCCCGCGGGGCGUGUCCGACCCCGGCCCAGGGUCGACGUUGACCGUGCGAAGGGUAGUGGGUCCGCAUCCUGGCCUUGCGCAUCUUCUGCGCGUCUUGUAGUCGGUUGCUCCCCGAGUCUCCUUGGAACGACUGCCACGUGGCUGUCUCGCCAGCCCUUCCGCCCCACGUCCAGCCUGCCCUAGCGCCGGCUGCCCUGCGCAGUCCUGUCUUCACGCUCCGUCAUCACCCAGCUCUUCUCUCCGCUAGGGCUGACGAGUUCCGCCGCCGUCUUUGCCGCCUGCAGGAUGUGGACCACAGCACAUCUCCUCUCACAGGGGACCUUGCUCCCAUUACCAAGGCUGUCUCCUGCAAGUUCUGGAUUUGGAGCCAAGGCACAGAGAACUUAAGUAGCAGAUGGUGGGAACCAGGUACAGUGGCGGGGCGACACCUGACAUCAUGGCACGCAUCCUCUGUUUGGAUGAAGCUGUAUUUUGUGUCCGUGUGAUAUCUAUUCUUACCAAAAAUACUGCUUACCAGAACUUGCUUUUGUCCACAUUCACCAAAAAAUUACGUUGCUCAGAAAAGGAGACGUCUGUGUUGUAAAAAUGAUUAUGAGUUCAGCAUGUAGUUCUUUCUUUUUCUUUUUGGUUUUGCAAAACACACUAGGAUUUAUGUGGGGCAUUUGCUUCUUUAUUCCCCAAGAUAGUUGCUGAAAAAGACUGGCUGCCUUAAACCCAAGUGACCACAGGAUGUCACCAGUGUUCCAUGAAAAUUCCACCGAAAGGGCAUUUACCUGGUAAUGCAAAACU